AUUGAACGCUGGCGGCAGGCUUAACACAUGCAAGUCGAGCGGGGUGAUGGUGCUUGCACUAUCACUUAGCGGCGGACGGGUGAGUAAUGCUUAGGAAUCUGCCUAUUAGUGGGGGACAACAUCUCGAAAGGGAUGCUAAUACCGCAUACGUCCUACGGGAGAAAGCAGGGGAUCACUUGUGACCUUGCGCUAAUAGAUGAGCUUAAGUCGGAUUAGCUAGUUGGUGGGGUAAAGGCCUACCAAGGCGACGAUCUGUAGCGGGUCUGAGAGGAUGAUCCGCCACACUGGGACUGAGACACGGCCCAGACGCCUACGGGAGGCAGCAGUGGGUAAUAUUGGACAAUGGGGGGAACCCUGAUCCAGCCAUGCCGCGUGUGUGAAGAAGGCCUUAUGGUUGUAAAGCACUUUAAGCGAGGAGGAGGCUCUUUUGGUUAAUACCCAAGAUGAGUGGACGUUACUCGCAGAAUAAGCACCGGCUAACUCUGUGCCAGCAGCCGCCGUAA
rnacentral:rRNA from 1 species